rnacentral:misc_RNA from 1 species
CACGAACCCAACAAGGACCGACUCGACUCAGCGAAAAAUCGGUCGUAUUAUUUUAUCCAUUUUAUGGGAAGGAGAAACUUCAUGCAUGAAGCUGGACCAAAUAACCAUUGAAGGAUGUCACAGAGGAGGAAGUUUCAUCUGGAGAAUAAUGAUGACUUGUUCUUAUACAAACUGAAGAUAAUAACUCAUAUAUUUUGAAGAGUGAUUACAUUUCCUGUGAAAAAAAUGUCAGAGAUUUCAGUUUCAAGGAAGUCUAAGAAUCAUGAGUGUUCCUUCUGUAAAAAGAAAUUUUUACACAAAACAGAACUGAAAAAGCACCGUCGAUCUCACACUAAGGAGAAACCGUUUGUUUGCAAAGAGUGUGCAACUGGUGGACCUCUUCCAAAGUAAAGAACAUUUUAGGGGAAAUCUACACUACUAAAAUGUAAAGAAAAAAAAAGAUUCUGGUAUGUGUGGAUAUCAUAAUAGCAAAAUCAUUAUAGAUUAUACAUUAUUUUUUAUAUUGCCAAAGUUUGUAGGGAUGUAUAGUUAUUGAUAAGAUUCGUACUUAAAAUUAUAGAAAUCCCUUGAACCAUCUGAUUUCUCAAUAUUUAUAUGCUAUUUUUGGGUAUGGAAAAUAGAGCAGUUGCAGUCAUUUGGAAAGAAGUGAUUAUGAAAUAGACCAAGCUUAUCAUUUUAUUUAAUAUUUUUAAUAGUGUCCUUCAACUUUGAAUUAUGUCAAAAAUAAAGAAA